CUUAAAUCAUUUAAAUUUAAAGCUGGAAAAGACUAUGGAAGAUCAUCUAGUACAAUUCUUAAGCGGUAAGAAGCAAGGGUCUACGUCUUUAGAGGCAAGAGGGACUUACACUAUAAGUAAAAUAAAAGAAAAAAGAGAAACAGU